AUGAACGCUGGCGGCGUGCCUAAUACAUGCCAGUCGAGCGAACGGACGAGAAGCUUGCUUCUCUGAUGUUAGCGGCGGACGGGUGAGUAACACGUGGAUAACCUACCUAUAAGACUGGGAUAACUUCGGGAAACCGGAGCUAAUACCGGAUAAUAUUUUGAACCGCAUGGUUCAAAAGUGAAAGACGGUCUUGCUGUCACUUAUAGAUGGAUCCGCGCUGCAUUAGCUAGUUGGUAAGGUAACGGCUUACCAAGGCAACGAUGCAUAGCCGACCUGAGAGGGUGAUCGGCCACACUGGAACUGAGACACGGUCCAGACUCCUACGGGAGGCAGCAGUAGGGAAUCUUCCGCAAUGGGCGAAAGCCUGACGGAGCAACGCCGCGUGAGUGAUGAAGGUCUUCGGAUCGUAAAACUCUGUUAUUAGGGAAGAACAUAUGUGUAAGUAACAGUGCACAUCUUGACGGUACCUAAUCAGAAAGCCACGGCUAACUACGUG
rnacentral:rRNA from 1 species